ACGUUGAUAGGACACAGUGUCUGUAAAUUGUGUCUUUUUAGGAUAAUCUAGUUUGUAUCAAUUAGAUCCAUUGAUAGGACAAAGUGUCUGUAAAUUGUGUCUUUUAAGGAUAAUAUAGUUGUAUCAAGUAGAUACAUUGAUAUGACACAGUGUCUGUAAAUUGUGUCUUUUAAGGAUAAUAUAGUUUGUAUCAAGUAGAUAUGUUGAUAGGA
rnacentral:lncRNA from 1 species